GGGUCGAUAGAUCAGUGGUAGAUCGAGAGAUUGCAGUGUACUGAAUCAUCUCCAGGUCGUGGGUUCGAUCCCCACUCGGCCCU
rfam:Aspergillus terreus NIH2624 scaffold_10 genomic scaffold, whole genome shotgun sequence.